UCCUGCAGGAAGAAGGAAAAUGAUACCCAAUGGAAAUAUGAAUCUACACAAAACAAUGAAAAGCACUGAAAAUGGUAACUAUUAUGCAUAAGUAGAUGAGAUUUUAUCACUAUUUAAAUCUUUUAAAGAGAUCAUUGAUUGUUCAAACAAAAAUGAAAACAAUGCAGUGUGGGGUUUAUAAUGUAUGUAAAAGUUCCACAUAUGACAGCAAUUAUAGUACAAAGGUCAGGAGGGGAGGAAUGGAAAUAUAGUGGGAGCAUAUGGGUAAAACCAAUAACAUGUUCUCUGGAUAAGUCCCCAGAUAUUUGGAAACCAAAUAACAUUCUUCUAAAUAAUCCCUGAGUCAAAGAAGCAACCGAAGAACUGAAAGAAAGAGUCUUGACAUCUGGUUUCUUUUCCCAGUUCUUUCGGAAAUUAAAAUACCGAAACCAUGUCAGUAAAGUGUCCUGAUGGACACCAAUCCUGGGAUCCGUGUCCUUCAGCCCCGUCAGCCUGAUGGGAAUGGGAAAUAUUCCUUGACUCUAAGAAACUUGCAGUUCAUUGAUGCCUCUUGACAAUUGUAAAUGUGGUUCCAGAAUACUGGCUGUCAACGGAAUUUUAUUAAAACCCAUGGCAAUCUCUGCCUGUCACUUGGCUGGGGGACUUCUUGGCUAUUUCGGGCCUUUCUUUUGGUAGAAUUUGGAGCAGUACAAAUCAGGCUCGAAAUUGUACUAAUUCUGGACUCUGUUUAGGGAAAUACAUUUGCAUCUCUAUCAUCCUUGCUGUUUGACAGAUGAGUAAAAGGAGUCACAGAGGUGUUGCUUGCCUGAGAUCCUCAAACUCACAAGCAGAAGCUGCUAGUUUCCUAUUCUGUCAGAG